rnacentral:misc_RNA from 1 species
CAAUCUUGUGCUUGAGAUACAGGGAACAUUGCCUUCAAGUUCAAAACAUCCAUCAAGCAAGUCAAUGUGGAAAGGAGUGCUCAUAUCAUACCUUGUUAUAGCCCUGUGCAUGUUUCCCCUGGCAAUAGCAGGAUUUUGGGCUUAUGGAAAUAAGAUACCUACAAAAGUUGGAAAUUUGAGCAUAUUUCUGGAAUUCUACAGCCACAAUGCCUCAAAAUUUAUGAAGGGUGUAACAUACAUGUUGGUAAUAAUAAACUGCUUC